rnacentral:ncRNA from 1 species
GAUUGCACAUUAUCCUCUCUGCAGUCGCGGCUG